GCAGCGGUAGUUCAGUGGUAGAAUUCUCGCCUUGCACAUGGGAGAUCCAGAAUCGAUUCCUGGCCGAUGGA
rnacentral:tRNA from 1 species